ACGAACGCUGGCGGCGUGCUUAACACAUGCAAGUCGAGCGGGGAUCGAGAUUGGAAGUCUUCGGAUGGAAGAUCUUGAUUCUAGCGGCGGACGGGUGAGUAACGCGUGAACAAUCUGUCCCAGACAGGGGGAUAACAACUGGAAACAGUUGCUAAUACCGCAUAAGACCACGUUCCGGCAUCGGAAUGAGGUAACACGAGCGAUCGGGUUUGGGGUGAGUUCGCGUCCCAUUAGCUAGUUGGCGAGGUAACGGCCCACCAAGGCGACGAUGGGUAGCCGGCCUGAGAGGGUGAACGGCCACAUUGGAACUGAGACACGGUCCAGACUCCUACGGGAGGCAGCAGUGGGGAAUAUUGGGCAAUGGGCGAAAGCCUGACCCAGCAACGCCGCGUGAAGGAAGAAGGUUUUCGGAUUGUAAACUUCUGUCCUUGGUGACGAAGGAAGUGACGGUAGCCAAGGAGGAAGCCCCGGCUAACUACGUGCCAGCAGCCGCGGUAAUACGUAGGGGGCGAGCGUUGUCCGGAAUGACUGGGCGUAAAGGGCGUGUAGGCGGCCUGAUAAGUAUGGAGUGAAAGUCCUGCUUUCAAGGUGGGAAUUGCUUUGUAGACUGUUAGGCUUGAGUGCGGAAGAGGUAAGUGGAAUUCCCAGUGUAGCGGUGAAAUGCGUAGAGAUUGGGAGGAACACCAGUGGCGAAGGCGACUUACUGGGCCGUAACUGACGCUGAGGCGCGAAAGCGUGGGGAGCGAACAGGAUUAGAUACCCUGGUAGUCCACGCUGUAAACGAUGAAUGCUAGGUGUAGCGGGUAUCGACCCCUGCUGUGCCGGAGUAAACACAAUAAGCAUUCCGCCUGGGGAGUACGGCCGCAAGGUUGAAACUCAAAGGAAUUGACGGGGGCCCGCACAAGCAGCGGAGCAUGUUGUUUAAUUCGAAGCAACGCGAAGAACCUUACCAGGUCUUGACAUCGAUGCAAAGCCAUGGAGACAUGGUCACUCUUCGGAGAGCAGAAGACAGGUGGUGCAUGGUUGUCGUCAGCUCGUGUCGUGAGAUGUUGGGUUAAGUCCCGCAACGAGCGCAACCCUUAUGGUCAGUUACUAACGGGUAAAGCCGAGGACUCUGACAAGACUGCCGGGGACAACUCGGAGGAAGGUGGGGACGACGUCAAAUCAUCAUGCCCCUUACGACCUGGGCUACAAACGUGCUACAAUGGUGGUUACAAAGAGCGACGCACUCGCAAGAGCAACUGAAUCUCAAAAAAGCCAUCCCAGUUCGGAUUGUGGGCUGCAACCCGCCCACAU
rnacentral:rRNA from 2 species